UAGGAUAUUAACCUACAUC
rnacentral:tRNA from 1 species